rnacentral:rRNA from 1 species
AUUGAACGCUGGCGGCGUGCUUAACACAUGCAAGUCGAUCGGUAACAGGUGUAGCAAUACAUGCUGACGAGAGGCGGACGGGUGAGUAAUGCUUGGGAAUCUGCCUAUUAGUGGGGGACAACCCGGGGAAACUCGGGCUAAUACCGCAUACGCUCUACGGAGGAAAGCCGGGGACCGCAAGGCCUGGCGCUAAUAGAUGAGCCCAAGUCGGAUUAGCUAGUUGGUAGGGAACGGCCUACCAAGGCGACAAUCCGUAGCUGGUCUGAGAGGACGACAGCACACGGAACUGAGACACGGUCCGGACUCCUACGGGAGGCAGCAGUGGGGAAUAUUGGACAAUGGGGGCAACCCUGAUCC